rnacentral:rRNA from 1 species
GACGAACGCUGGCGGCGUGCUUAACACAUGCAAGUCGAACGGAAAGGCCCUGCUCGCAGGGUACUCGAGUGGCGAACGGGUGAGUAACACGUGGGUGAUCUGCCCUGCACUUCGGGAUAAGCUUGGGAAACUGGGUCUAAUACCGGAUAGGAGCCAUCUUUAGUGUGGUGGUUGGAAAGUUUUUUCGGUGUAGGAUGAGCUCGCGGCCUAUCAGCUUGUUGGUGGGGUAAUGGCCUACCAAGGCGGCGACGGGUAGCCGGCCUGAGAGGGUGUACGGCCACAUUGGGACUGAGAUACGGCCCAGACUCCUACGGGAGGCAGCAGUGGGGAAUAUUGCACAAUGGGCGCAAGCCUGAUGCAGCGACGCCGCGUGGGGGAUGAAGGCCUUCGGGUUGUAAACUCCUUUCGCUAGGGACGAAGCUUUUUUGUGACGGUACCUAGAUAAGAAGCACCGGCUAACUACGUG